rnacentral:rRNA from 1 species
AGAGUUUGAUCAUGGCUCAGGAUGAACGCUAGCUACAGGCUUAACACAUGCAAGUCGCGGGGCAGCAUGAAUUUAGCUUGCUAAAUUUGAUGGCGACCGGCGCACGGGUGAGUAACGCGUAUCCAACCUUCCCCUGUCCACGGGAUAGCCCGUCGAAAGGCGGAUUAAUACCGUAUGAGGUCACACGAUGGCAUCAGACUGUGACGAAAGGUUUGGCGGACAGGGAUGGGGAUGCGUCCGAUUAGCUUGUUGGCGGGGUAACGGCCCACCAAGGCAACGAUCGGUAGGGGUUCUGAGAGGAAGGUCCCCCACAUUGGAACUGAGACACGGUCCAAACUCCUACGGGAGGCAGCAGUGAGGAAUAUUGGUCAAUGGGCGAGAGCCUGAACCAGCCAAGUAGCGUGCAGGACGACGGCCCUACGGGUUGUAAACUGCUUUUAUGCGGGGAUAACGUGCACCACGUGUGGUGUAUUGCAGGUACCGCAUGAAUAAGGACCGGCUAAUUCCGUGCCAGCAGCCGCGGUAAUACGGAAGGUCCGGGCGUUAUCCGGAUUUAUUGGGUUUAAAGGGAGCGUAGGCCGCUGUUUAAGCGUGUUGUGAAAAACCGGGGCUCAACUCCGGUCGUGCAGCGCGAACUGGACGGCUUGAGUGCGCGGUAAGUGGGCGGAAUUUGUGGUGUAGCGGUGAAAUGCUUAGAUAUCACGAAGAACUCCGAUUGCGAAGGCAGCUCACUGUAGCGCAACUGACGCUGAAGCUCGAAAGUGCGGGUAUCGAACAGGAUUAGAUACCCUGGUAGUCCGCACGGUAAACGAUGGAUGCCCGCUGUUCCGACUAUUAGUUGGAGUGGCCAAGCGA